GACGAACGCUGGCGGCGUGCCUAAUACAUGCAAGUAGAACGCACAGUUUAUACCGUAGCUUGCUCCACCAUAGACUGUGAGUUGCGAACGGGUGAGUAACGCGUAGGUAACCUGCCUGGUAGCGGGGGAUAACUAUUGGAAACGAUAGCUAAUACCGCAUAAUAUUAAUUAUUGCAUGAUAAUUAAUUGAAAGGUGCAAUUGCACCACUACCCAAUGGACCUGCGUUGUAUUAGCUAGUAGGUGAGGUAACGGCUCACCUAGGCGACGAUACAUAGCCGACCUGAGAGGGUGAUCGGCCACACUGGGACUGAGACACGGCCCAGACUCCUACGGGAGGCAGCAGUAGGGAAUCUUCGGCAAUGGACGAAAGUCUGACCGAGCAACGCCGCGUGAGUGAAGAAGGUUUUCGGAUCGUAAAGCUCUGUUGUAAGAGAAGAACGGGUGUGAGAGUGGAAAGUUCACACUGUGACGGUAUCUUAACAGAAAGGGACGGCUAACUACGUG
rnacentral:rRNA from 1 species